AUUAUACCGCGAAACUGCGAAUGGCUCAUUAAAUCAGUUAUCGUUUAUUUGAUAGUACCUUACUACUUGGAUAACCGUGGUAAUUCUAGAGCUAAUACAUGCUAAAAAUCCCGACUUCGGAAGGGAUGUAUUUAUUAGAUUAAAAACCAAUGCCCUUUGGGCUCACUGGUGAUUCAUGAUAACUUCUCGAAUCGCAUGGCCUUGCGCCGGCGAUGGUUCAUUCAAAUUUCUGCCCUAUCAACUUUCGACGGCUGGGUCUUGGCCAGCCAUGGUGACAACGGGUAACGGAGGGUUAGGGCUCGACCCCGGAGAAGGAGCCUGAGAAACGGCUACUACAUCCAAGGAAGGCAGCAGGCGCGCAAAUUACCCAAUCCCGACACGGGGAGGUAGUGACAAUACAUACUGAUACAGGGCUCUUUUGGGUCUUGUAAUUGGAAUGAGUACAAUUUAAAUCCCUUAACGAGGAACAAUUGGAGGGCAAGUCUGGUGCCAGCAGCCGCGGUAAUUCCAGCUCCAAUAGCGUAUAUUAAAGUUGUUGCGGUUAAAAAGCUCGUAGUUGAACCUUGGGCCUGGCUGGCCGGUCCGCCUCACCGCGUGCACUGGUACGGUCGGGCCUUUCCCUCUGGGGAACCGCAUGCCCUUCACUGGGUGUGUCGGGGAACCAGGACUUUUACUUUGAAAAAAUUAGAGUGUUCAAAGCAGGCUUAUGCUCGGAUACAUUAGCAUGGAAUAAUAGAAUAGGACGUGCGGUUCUAUUUUGUUGGUUUCUAGGACCGCCGUAAUGAUUAAUAGGGACAGUCGGGGGCAUCAGUAUUCAAUUGUCAGAGGUGAAAUUCUUGGAUUUAUUGAAGACUAACUACUGCGAAAGCAUUUGCCAAGGAUGUUUUCAUUAAUCAGGAACGAAAGUUAGGGGAUCGAAGACGAUCAGAUACCGUCGUAGUCUUAACCAUAAACUAUGCGAACUAGGGAUCGGACGAUGUUAUUAUUUGACUCGUUCGGCACCUUACACGAAAGUACAAGUUUCUGCGU
rnacentral:rRNA from 1 species